rnacentral:tRNA from 1 species
GACUCCGUAGCUCAGCUGGUAGAGCAACAGACUCUUAAUCUGUGGGCCGUGGGUUCGAACCCCACCGGGGUCAC